ACCUGCAGGGGUGGAGGAGACGGGAAGAGGAGGCCAGUUGCUGGAAAGAUCAAGCAGGGAGGAGGAGAUUGGGAUCGAGAUGACCCAUUUGAGGCUGUACCCAGUGAACAGAGCGGCGGCAGUCAACGGCGAGCUCCGGACAGGCAGAAACCAUGCUUGAGAGGAAGAUUGAGCUCCAGGCCCCAUAUGCGAGUGAACCUCCCACACAUUAUUUUCCUCUGCCACUAUGGUUAUAAUGGUUCUUAGUGUGUUUACUGCGGUGGAAGCUGAUGAACUGCGACGGUGGGAUAGCUGCUGCAUUGAGAUAAUUGAUGGAAAGGAGCUACUGAAUGAGAAGAAAACAGGGAAUGGUUACACGAAAGGAUAUGUACUACUGAGAAUGUAGGUGUUGUUUCCUGACAAAGAGUGUUUCGCCUCUUCGUUCGUCAAACCUUGUUAAACCUCGGCGCUGACAUGUAGGCCACACUAUCCAUAUCCUUGAACAAAUGAACAUAUGUAUAAUAUAAUUAAUGACCUUGUGAAUCAAUCUUUAUUUUGUGGCAUUAAAAUUUAUUUGAAUUUCCAGUUUAUUUCAGUGACAUCCUCUUCUCUCAUAAAUUCCAAUACACAAAAAACCCACUCACCAUAUUAUGAGUUGUAUUAGCUGGUACUCCUUUUUGUAUACAAGUUGAUUGUUCCAUCAUGGUUUCAUGAACACGAUUUACAAAAUAUGUGAUAAUUGGCUGGGUAUGUGGACCUUUUCUACAAUAUAUGUUUUUGCUCGGUGUCUUUUGUGCAAGUUGUGCUUAUCUGAAUUUUGUGCAAAGUCAAAAUUUUAAUCCUAAUGUUGUUGUCAGUGUUGCAUAGAUAACUUGCUCUUUAUGACGUUCUUUUGUAGAUUGGCGAGCUUUAGAAUGAAUGCAUGUAAAGCUAAACAGACUUGGGCGUUAGGGAGAGAAAUUAAAUUGACUUGGGUGUUGUCAGUGAUUAAAGAUGAAUAGACGAGCAUGCCACUUUCAGAUGUGUACAUUCUGUGCAAAUAUCUUGGUAUGUGUUGGUGACGGUGCUCGAGGACAGGCGGCUCCCCGGAAGGAGGUUGCGGCUUCGUGCAACCAUCUAGCAGCGGAUAAGGUCAUGCUUUCAUUCAUGCUGCUGCGAAGAACUCGGGGAAGGAUACAUGGACGGAGGACGACACACUAGCUGGUCAGAGGUGGUCCUUACCGUACAUUAAAUUAUACAUGGGAGUGCAAGGGAAUUACUCAUUUCUUUUACUUAGACGUAAUAAAUUUUAGGACAAAUUCAGGUGUCGCCCUAUAAGGGGAAUUGAUAAGCACCUUCUAGAUGGCCUUUGGAAUUUGAGAGUAAACAACAAGAUAUCAUUGAGAUUUGCCACGCUUUCAGUAUUUCCUUGCUCCACAGGACAUGCUUUUUCUUGCUAUUAAAAGGAUAAUAAGCUGACUCCGUUUACAUGGAAGUCAAGCUUGGGCUAUCGUUCCUUAGAGAUACUUACUCUAGGGAAGGCACUCCCAGAAAUGUGAUCAUAAUUAGGCUCAGUUCUUCCCCGGUUGUGAAGUGAUAACGCACCAAUGGCAUGUAUUCCUUUUACAUAACCUUGAUGAGAAGGAGAAACACAAGUAUAAGUGA